UACGUAGGGUGCAAGCGUUGCCCGGAAUCAUUGGGCGUAAAGCGCGUGUAGGCGGCCCGAUAAGUCCGCUGUGAAAGUCCAGGGCUCAACCCUGGGAUGCCGGUGGAUACUGUCGGGCUCGAGUCCGGAAGAGGCGAGUGGAAUUCCUGGUGUAGCGGUGAAAUGCGCAGAUAUCAGGAGGAACACCAAUGGCGAAGGCAGCUCGCUGGGACGUGACUGACGCUGAGACGCGAAAGCGUGGGGAGCAAACAGG
rnacentral:rRNA from 1 species